UACGUAGGUGGCAAGCGUUGUCCGGAUUUAUUGGGCGUAAAGCGAGUGCAGGCGGUUUCUUAAGUCUGAUGUGAAAGCCCCCGGCUCAACCGGGGAGGGGCAUUGGAAACUGGGGAACUUGAGUGCAGAAGAGGAGAGUGGAAUUCCAUGUGUAGCGGUGAAAUGCGUAGAGAUAUGGAGGAACACCAGUGGCGAAGGCGACGCUCUGGUCUGUAACUGACGCUGAGGCUCGAAAGCGUGGGUAGCAAACAGG
rnacentral:rRNA from 1 species